ACAUUGUUAGUAUAAUAUUAUUAUAGUACUUUUCCAAAGUAUUGAUCUAUAAAUGUAGACAAUGUA
rnacentral:tRNA from 1 species